AACGAACGCUGGCGGCAUGCCUAACACAUGCAAGUCGAACGAGACCUUCGGGUCUAGUGGCGAACGGGUGCGUAACGCGUGGGAACCUGCCCUUAGGUUCGGAAUAACUCCCCGAAAGGGGUGCUAAUACCGGAUAAUGUCUUCGGACCAAAGAUUUAUCGCCUUUGGAUGGGCCCGCGUUGGAUUAGCUAGUUGGUAGGGUAAAAGCCUACCAAGGCGACGAUCCAUAGCUGGUCUGAGAGGAUGAUCAGCCACACUGGGACUGAGACACGGCCCAGACUCCUACGGGAGGCAGCAGUGGGGAAUAUUGGACAAGGGGCGAAAGCCUGAUCCAGCAAUGCCGCGUGAGUGAUGAAGGCCGUAGGGUUGUAAAGCUCUUUUACCCGGGAUGAUAAUGACAGUACCGGGAGAAUAAGCUCCGGCUAACUCCGUG
rnacentral:rRNA from 1 species